ACAGUACUUACUUCGUUCAACAAAAGAUGUCUUAAGUUUGUCAAAAUUUAGAUGUAUCUAGACAUGACUUAGUGUAUAAAUGCAUUCAAAUUUAAUCAAAAUUGAGACAUCCUUUAUUGGACGGAGGAAAUAAUAU
rfam:Brachypodium distachyon strain Bd21 chromosome 2, whole genome shotgun sequence.